GUGGGGAAUAUUCCGCAAUGGACGAAAGUCUGACGGAGCAACGCCGCGUGAGUGAUGAAGGUUUUCGGACUGUAAAGCUCUGUUGUUUAGGACGAAAGUGCCUGUUGCAAAUAGUUACAGGUAUUGACGGUACUGAACGAGGAAGCCACGGCUAACUACGUGCCAGCAGCCGCGGUAAUACGUAGGUGGCAAGCGUUGUCCGGAAUUAUUGGGCGUAAAGAGCAUGUAGGCGGAGAUUUAAGUCUGUUGUGAAAAUGCGGGGCUCAACCCCGUAUUGCGAUGGAAACUGAAUUUCUUGAGUGCAGGAGAGGAAAGGGGAAUUCCCAGUGUAGCGGUGAAAUGCGUAGAUAUUGGGAGGAACACCAGUGGCGAAGGCGCCUUUCUGGACUGUGUCUGACGCUGAGAUGCGAAAGCCAGGGUAGCGAACGGGAUUAGAAACCCCUGUAGUCC
rnacentral:rRNA from 1 species